CCUGCCCCCUAAGAGCAUUGCUGAUGUGGCUGCUGGGUCAUGCACAUCAGUAGGUGGCAGAGAGAGAGGAGAGAGGCUAUGUCUAUGCUCAGUGUUCUGACCUAUGAACAUCUGAACGACUAACAUUCCCUGAAAGA
rnacentral:snoRNA from 1 species